AGAGUUUGAUCCUGGCUCAGGAUGAACGCUGGCGGCGUGCUUAACACAUGCAAGUCGAGCGAAGCGAUUUCAAGGAAGUUUUCGGAUGGAAUUGAAAUUGACUUAGCGGCGGACGGGUGAGUAACGCGUGGGUAACCUGCCUCAUACAGGGGGAUAACAGUUGGAAACGGCUGCUAAUACCGCAUAAGCACACAGUGCCGCAUGGUACGGUGUGAAAAACUCCGGUGGUAUGAGAUGGACCCGCGUCUGAUUAGGUAGUUGGUGAGGUAACGGCCCACCAAGCCGACGAUCAGUAGCCGACCUGAGAGGGUGACCGGCCACAUUGGGACUGAGACACGGCCCAAACUCCUACGGGAGGCAGCAGUGGGGAAUAUUGGACAAUGGGGGAAACCCUGAUCCAGCGACGCCGCGUGAGUGAAGAAGUAUUUCGGUAUGUAAAGCUCUAUCAGCAGGGAAGAAAAUGACGGUACCCGACUAAGAAGCC
rnacentral:rRNA from 1 species